UCCCAAGUGCUCCAGUGCUUAGGACUCCACACUUCCACUGUAGAGGGCACAGGUUCAAUCCCUGCUUGGGGAA
rnacentral:tRNA from 1 species